rnacentral:ncRNA from 1 species
AUCUUCAGGGCAGGGUGUAAUUCCCGACCGGCGGUAAAAGUCCGCGAGCGAGGCGCUAAGAGCUGAGCAUGAUGCAGUGCAAUUCUGCAGCCGACCGUAUAGUCUGGAUGGAAGAAGAUA